GCGAGGUGACGAUAGAAAUUCAAAUGUCUGUCAAUCCACUGACUAAACAUUACACACAAUUUUUCAAAAAUAUUGUUUGC